ensembl:lncRNA
GGAUCGGCUGUGCUGGGCGGCGGCGGCAGCGAGCGGAGCGGCGGAACCGGAGCUCCCCGCACAACAGAAAGGCCUAUUAAUAUUAAAUAAAGCGUCGUAACAAAAAGAAAAAAGGGGAUACCUACAGCCUUUGAGAGCUCCACGUGCUGCGGUCUGCCUCCGCUUCAUAGCAACGCCAAAUUUGAAGACCCUUUCAGAACUGGACCCAACCUUAUUGCUGUUCCCAUUGUGAAAAGCUGGAGGCUGAAGCGAUAAUGCUCAGAACAAAGAGCACUUAGCAUAAGCAUUGAGUGUGUGCUAAAUAAACCGUGCUCGGCCUUCCCACUGCGUUGCUGGUGACAGCUCGCACGGCUGUGCCCUGCCCCGUAACACAGCACACAUCCCAUGGCCGUGGCUGGGAAAAGCGCCGCUGUCACCGAGCCCAGCUGCUGUCAGCAGCACGUGGUGGGAAUAUGGAUCUGGAAACAAACAGAUCAUUAGAGGGUGAGUUAAGGUUUUCUGAUUUAAUUCUAAACAUGCUGAGUGAGGGACCCAGAGAUGUGCGGUUCCAGGAGAGCGGCACCAUGAGGCCUUUCUCCUCCAAGGAACACCGGAAUUUACACGGGACACAGCAGUGCGUGGGGCGACAAAGACAGUUCCAAUGGAAAACGUGAAGUUCCAUUUCUUCUGGAGGGCUGGGAAGACCGUUUGACGAGAAGUAACACUGCACUGAUGCAAGCUGUGCAUUAUUUCCUUCCUGGGAAUCACCCAUCAAUCCACAACGUCGUUAAAAAGUACUACCAUUUUCCAAUGGGGAAAUGGCACGGGGAGCAGCGAUGGGGCCGAGUUCUGCCUGCACUUGGCCUGUCCUGGCUGUAGCAGGGCUGGAACAGAAUGCACUGCCCACAGGGCUGGCAGUGGGGCCGGGGCGUGGGAGGAGGGCUGGGUGUGAGAUGCUGCACCCACGUGCUGCAGUGAAGUUCGUGCAGCCAGGCCUGUACCUCUGGAGGGUUUCUGCACCACCUUCUCCCCCUACAUCCGCGGAGAUGGAUGCAGGAAGGAUGCCCUGCGCUGCCCCAGCUCUGCAGGGACAGCUGUGAGGCAGUGUGUCCCUGUGUAUUUUGGCACGGCAGAGCCUUGUGCUGCCAGGGAAAAGGUCUUUUGGUCUGUCUCCCCUUCCCACAGCAGCUACCGUCCUGGCCCCGUGGCCAUGGGAUGGUGGUCUGGCCUGCUCGGCUGUGCUGAAGGGGAGCGGGGCAGGGUCUGGUGACAGCAGCACAUCGCCCACGGGGACAUGGAAGCCUUCAAGGGCCACUCCAGGAAAGCAGGAAGCCCCAGGGGAGGAGCAGGAGGGGUCCGAAGCUGGGCAGCUCCAUCACCCCACCAGGUCCAGGCGCUCACCCUUCCCUGCGCAUCACGGCCCCGCUGGGCUGUGGCCCCGUGUUCGGCCUCCGGCGCAGACAGCGAUGGUAUCGCAUUCACUUCUCAUUUCGGCGUGGGCACGGUGCCCAUGAAGUUACAGCACAGCUGACUCUGAUUUUCGUAUAGUUCAUUGUUUACUUAUGACUUACUAUAAAGUUGAGCUCGUCUUAUUUAUGAGCAGCCAUGAAGAGAUGGGAUUUCAUCCACUGGGUGAUGACUCAUUCAUUGGGUUGGACUCUCUAGCUCCUAAUACGUGACAUAUUUCGGACUAUUGGAUGAACAGGAUUUCUCUAUGAGCCCAAAUUAAAUGAGGUGAAUGGAAAUAAUUAGUUGUUUGUUUUUAAGGCCGUGUUGUCGCGGGGUCUGUGCUGGGUCGGCUCCCUGCUUGUCCCCCCGUAAACGUGUUUGGGGUCAGCGCUGGGGCUGCCGGCCCCGUUCCUGCUGCACGGGGGAGGCCUGAGCAGCACAGCAGCAUUUGGUACUUUCUAUGAGCUUUAAUGACC